rnacentral:rRNA from 1 species
AGUGAACGCUGGCGGUAGGCCUAACACAUGCAAGUCGAACGGCAGCACAGGAGAGCUUGCUCUCUGGGUGGCGAGUGGCGGACGGGUGAGGAAUACAUCGGAAUCUACUUUUUCGUGGGGGAUAACGUAGGGAAACUUACGCUAAUACCGCAUACGACCUACGGGUGAAAGCAGGGAUCUUCGGACCUUGCGCGAUUGAAUGAGCCGAUGUCGGAUUAGCUAGUUGGCGGGGUAAAGGCCCACCAAGGCGACGAUCCGUAGCUGGUCUGAGAGGAUGAUCAGCCACACUGGAACUGAGACACGGUCCAGACUCCUACGGGAGGCAACAGUGGGGAAUAUUGGACAAUGGGCGCAAGCCUGAUCCAGCCAUACCGCGUGGGUGAAGAAGGCCUUCGGGUUGUAAAGCCCUUUUGUUGGGAAAGAAAUCCAGCUGGUUAAUACCCGGUUGGGAUGACGGUACCCAAAGAAUAAGCACCGGCUAACUUCGUGCCAGCCGCCGCGGUAA